AUGGAGGGCACAGAUGAUGUCAAAUCAGAUGAGAUCCUCAUGCCCGGGUUCCGGUUCCAUCCUACAGAUGAAGAGCUGGUGAGUUUCUACCUCAAGAAGAAGAUCCAGCAGAAGCCCAUCUCCAUCGAACUCAUCAGGCAGCUGGACAUCUACAAGUUUGAUCCAUGGGACCUCCCAAAGCUUGCGAACACCGGCGGUGAGACAGAGUGGUACUUCUACUGCCCAAGGGACCGGAAAUAUCGAAACAGCGCGAGGCCAAACCGAGUUACAGCAGCUGGGUUCUGGAAGGCCACAGGAACAGAUAGGCCGAUUUACUCCUCCAAGGGCACAAGGUGUGUAGGCCUGAAGAAGUCACUUGUCUUCUACAAAGGCAGAGCAGCAAGAGGAAUCAAAACCGAGUGGAUGAUGCAUGAGUUCAGGCUUCCUUCGCUUGCUGAUCCAUCACUUCCCAAGAGACCAAUCGACAAGACCAUCCCACUCAACGACUCUUGGACCAUAUGUAGGAUCUUCAAGAAGACCAGCUCGAUGGCGGCGCAACGGGCGCUGACUCACACUUGGGAGCCUCCAUUGCCUGGGGCAACUAAGCAAGAUCUCUUCUCCGCCAUGCAAGCUUCUCAUUUUCCUUCAGAGAGCUGCUCCAACUCAUUGCAAGUUGCAGCUGCGGCACCAUCAAGUCAGUUCGACAGCAAAUAUGGCUUCCAAGGACAGCAGCAGUUUCAGAAACCCAACAGCACACAGGAGGGUGGCUCUUCAUGCAAGGUCAUAAGCUUCAACUGCAGUCCAUCUCCACAAGUCCUGAAAGAUAUAGAUGACGAGAUGAGCUGCAGGGACCAAGAGUCAUCCACAAUGAAGCAUGGUGAUACUUUCCGCAUGAAGAAUGAGUGGGACACUCCGGGGAGACUCAACUUCCCAUUCGAUUUAGGAGCAGACUCUUCAGAUGACUGGGAGUGCAACAUACCUUGGGAAUCCUUUCUUAGCCCAACAGUCCCUGCUGAGAUCACACAGUAUUAG
rnacentral:rRNA from 1 species